UUCGCUAGACAACGUUUCAAGCAUUCAGAAACCCUAAUCUUUUCCAGCCUCCAUCUUCCUUCUUCAAUCAGUCAAGCAAAUCAAAUCAAAUGUUAGUUCUUCUCAUCUUCAUCUUCUAACAAAUGGAUCGUAUUUAUCUUCUUUCUCACACAGCAACAAAUGACAACCUAAUUUCUGCUGAACCCUAAAACCCACCAUCGCAAAUUUGCUUUGUCUGUUCUUGAUCGAUUCCUCUUUGAUAAUCGAAAAUGGAAUUGCUUGGAACGAAGGUGGAAGACGAUGGCUCGGAGAUCAAUCUCGAUCAUAUGCCACAAUGAAAUUUUAGUCUUUUUUAUUGAUUUCUUUCGGUCUAAACCUAUUGGAUUCGCUUUGAAUUAUGUCCAAACUAAAGGGAUUCCAUAUAUCACCCUACUAAAUUCUUAUCAUCUGAGAGGGUGGAAGAUUCAGACUUUGUUCAGAGCACUACCUAUGACAAGCACUAAGAUUAUGUUUAGCGAUUCCGUAUACAUUGAAAGAGAAACAAUCUACUUUUGUUUAAGCCUGUUCGUGAUCAUAUCAAGAAUGAUGAAUGUUAAGGCUUUAUUUACAAUGGUUAAGGUGGAAUUCCGCUCUUCAUUAUCAUCCUCCUGUAUACGCACCAGCCGCGCUCUCCAUGAACUUUCUAUUACCUUCUCGAAUUAAAAUAUAUCUUUUGGAAUAGUUGAUCUUGGACUUUUCCCGAAUACAGCUGCAAGAUUUGGAAUCUCUCUUGAAGAGGUUUCCCGCUUUCCAGAUAUGCAUCCGGCAGCUAAAUCUUCAGAUAUAACGAAGGUAUACCGUAAAACUUAAGUGUAUUAUAGCUCACAGGGUCAGAUCGGGCCAGCCAAAACUGUAUUUUAUCUGCUUUUAUUUCUUAAUAAAUUAGUAAUGUGUUAGUUUUAGUUACAAAGAACUAUAAAAAAAUCAGUAAUAUUAUAAAAAUUUGAGUUAAUAGACUUGGGAUUUUAUUUGCAAUAAAAAUACACUUUGGAUGACCUUUGACCUGUUUAGCCUGUGUUAUCUAUUUGUUUAUUUUUACCUACCGACCUGUAACCUAUUAUAGAUAACAUGCAACUCAAUUCAAUGCUUUCAUAAGUAAAUGGGUCGAUAUAUUUUUAAAUAUAAUAUUUAUGAUUGUUUUUCUUGAAGAAAUUUCUUUGCCGGCAUUUUGAACUUGACAAACAUUUGCUCAGUGGCGGAUCUAGAAGAUCCGCAUAGGGGUAACAUUUCAAUAAAAAGUGGUAACGAAAUCGAAAAAACGUUAAAUUUUUCAAAAUUUACACUACCGUCGAAGCAUCACCGGAGCGUCAAGGGGCAACGGAGGUUACCCCUUCUAUCACUCUAAUUCCGCCCCUGCAUUUGCUUGAUUAUAUUGGUGGCAAAUAGGUAUUAUGCUCGACACUUUAAUUUUGUUUGGCAAAUUAUAGCCUCAAAGAGGUAAUUAACUUCAAGUAUAAUUUCAUACAAUUUAUAAAGUUAUAAUUGAAUCUUAUUUCUAUUAUCAAAUGUAUCUUUCAUUCUUUCCCAAUUUUCCCUUAUUUUUAUUAGUUUGUUUUUUGCUAUUACUGCUUCUAUGGAUGGAAGACAGUGAUUCGUACACUUCAUCUUUUUCCAGAUUGACUAUUGUGAUAUGAAUAACUUGCUUCAACCGAUCUUCCACAUGUUGGCUUGCUCGUACUUAUUUCAAU